rnacentral:rRNA from 1 species
CUUAACACAUGCAAGUCGAGCGGUAAGGCCCUUCGGGGUACACGAGCGGCGAACGGGUGAGUAACACGUGGGUGAUCUGCCUCGCACUCUGGGAUAAGCCUGGGAAACUGGGUCUAAUACCGGAUAUGACCUUACAUCGCAUGGUGUUUGGUGGAAAGAUUUAUCGGUGCGAGAUGGGCCCGCGGCCUAUCAGCUUGUUGGUGGGGUAAUGGCCUACCAAGGCGACGACGGGUAGCCGGCCUGAGAGGGCGACCGGCCACACUGGGACUGAGACACGGCCCAGACUCCUACGGGAGGCAGCAGUGGGGAAUAUUGCACAAUGGGCGAAAGCCUGAUGCAGCGACGCCGCGUGAGGGAUGACGGCCUUCGGGUUGUAAACCUCUUUCGACAGGGACGAAGCGCAAGUGACGGUACCUGUAGAAGAAGCACCGGCCAACUACGUGCCAGCAGCCGCGGUAAUACGUAGGGUGCGAGCGUUGUCCGGAAUUACUGGGCGUAAAGAGCUUGUAGGCGGCUUGUCGCGUCGAUCGUGAAAACUUGGGGCUCAACCCCAAGCUUGCGGUCGAUACGGGCAGGCUUGAGUACUUCAGGGGAGACUGGAAUUCCUGGUGUAGCGGUGAAAUGCGCAGAUAUCAGGAGGAACACCGGUGGCGAAGGCGGGUCUCUGGGAAGUAACUGACGCUGAGAAGCGAAAGCGUGGGUAGCGAACAGGAUUAGAUACCCUGGUAGUCCACGCC